UACGUAGGGAGCAAGCGUUAUCCGGAUUUACUGGGUGUAAAGGGCGUGUAGGCGGGAAAGCAAGUCAGAUGUGAAAACCAUGGGCUCAACCCAUGGCCUGCAUUUGAAACUGUUUUUCUUGAGUGAUGGAGAGGCAGGCGGAAUUCCGUGUGUAGCGGUGAAAUGCGUAGAUAUACGGAGGAACACCAGUGGCGAAGGCGGCCUGCUGGACAUUAACUGACGCUGAGGCGCGAAAGCGUGGGGAGCAAAC
rnacentral:rRNA from 1 species